GAUCACUCCUAAGCCAGGAUCAACCAGAGCUACAGGAGUUUGGCACACGUGUGCACCAUCCGCCUCCUUCCAAGAACAAUGGGUUCACACUGCAGACCCAGGGGAGGCCAAGCCCGGGAAGUGGCCUGAGACACAAUUGGGUCAGCUAAAAUUGUGUCAAGUAAAGCUCAGCAUGGUGACCUCAUCCGAGUUACUUGCAAAUGGCAAGAGGUGAACAGCGCUUCCACCAGGUACUCAUACCAUGACGUGCUGCCUGACCACAGGCCCAAAGCAUCAGGGCCAAAAGACCCUGGGCUGAAACUUCUGAAAUCAGGAGACAAGGUAAACUUUUUCUCCUUAU